rnacentral:rRNA from 1 species
GAUGAACGCUGGCGGCGUGCCUAAUACAUGCGAGUCGAGCGAACAGACGAGGAGCUUGCUCCUCUGACGUUAGCGGCGGACGGGUGAGUAACACGUGGAUAACCUACCUAUAAGACUGGGAUAACUUCGGGAAACCGGAGCUAAUACCGGAUAAUAUAUUGAACCGCAUGGUUCAAUAGUGAAAGACGGUCUUGCUGUCACUUAUAGAUGGAUCCGCGCCGCAUUAGCUAGUUGGUAAGGUAACGGCUUACCAAGGCAACGAUGCGUAGCCGACCUGAGAGGGUGAUCGGCCACACUGGAACUGAGACCCGGUCCAGACUCCUACGGGAGGCAGCAGUAGGGAAUCUUCCGCAAUGGGCGAAAGCCUGACGGAGCAACGCCGCGUGAGUGAUGAAGGUCUUCGGAUCGUAAAACUCUGUUAUUAGGGAAGAACAAAUGUGUAAGUAACUAUGCACGUCUUGACGGUACCUAAUCAGAAAGCCACGGCUAACUACGUG